CCCUUAGAUGUCCUGGGCUGCACGCGCGCUACACUGAUGUGUCCAGUAAGCACCUAACCUCUUCCGAAAGGAACGGGUAACCUUUGCAAAGCACAUCGUGAUGGGGAUAGAUUAUUGCAAUUAUUAGUCUUGAACGAGGAAUUCCUAGUAAGCACAAGUCAUCAGCUUGUGUUGAUUACGUCCCUGCCCUUUGUACACACCGCCCGUCGCUCCUACCGAUUGAAUGUUCCGGGGAGCUCUUCGGACUGCGCGGUCUGCAGUUUCUGCGUUCCGUGCGGAAAGUUGCGCAAACCUUAACAUUUAGAGGAAGGAGAAGUCGUAACA
rnacentral:rRNA from 1 species